rnacentral:rRNA from 1 species
UACGUAGGGUGCGAGCGUUAAUCGGAAUUACUGGGCGUAAAGCGUGCGCAGGCGGUUUUGUAAGACAGGCGUGAAAUCCCCGGGCUUAACCUGGGAAUGGCGCUUGUGACUGCAAGGCUAGAGUGCGUCAGAGGGGGGUAGAAUUCCACGUGUAGCAGUGAAAUGCGUAGAGAUGUGGAGGAAUACCGAUGGCGAAGGCAGCCCCCUGGGACGAGACUGACGCUCAUGCACGAAAGCGUGGGGAGCAAACAGGAUUAGAUACCCUGGUAGUCCACGCCCUAAACGAUGUCAACUAGUUGUUGGGGAUUCAUUUCCUCAGUAACGUAGCUAACGCGUGAAGUUGACCGCCUGGGGAGUACGGUCGCAAGAUUAAA